rnacentral:rRNA from 1 species
AACGAACCCUGGCGGCAUGUCUAAACCAUGCAAGUCGACCGAGACCUUCGGGUCUAGUGGCGCACGGGUGCGUCACGCGUGGGAACCUGCCCUUAGGUUCGGAAUAACUCCCCGAAUGGGGCGCUAAUACCGGAUAACGUCUUCGGACCAAAGACUUCUCGCCUUUGGAUGGGCCCGCGUUGGAUUAGCUAGUUGGUAGGGUAAAAGCCUACCAAGGCGACGAUCCAUAGCUGGUCUGAGAGGAUGCUCAGCCACACUGGGACUGAGACACGGCCCAGACUCCGACGGGAGGCAGCAGUGGGGAAUAUUGGACGAUGGGCGAAAGCCUGAUCCAGCAAUGCCGCGUAAGUGAGGAAGGCGUUAGGGUUGUGAAGCUCUUUUACCUGGGAUGAUAAUGACAGUACCGGGAGAAUAAGCUCCGGCUAACUCCGUG